UUAUCUAUUAUAGGUUACAGGAUAAAAUUUUUAUAUAAUAACAAUGUACAAUAAAAGCAUAUUAAAAUAUUACUAUGUACAAAUACUAUAUAUAAGUACACGCUGCCAGUACACGAUAUACCAUCCAACGACAGUCGUCUGCUAGGCGUACUUCGUGGAAAACGUUGGUUAGGCUCCUCCCCUUUGGGGGCGGAGCAAGCCAUUCCACGAUCAUUUUCCACGAUAUACCAGUACACGGUACACGGUACGCGUACACGAUAUACCGCGGCCCUAAAUGACACCGUUUAACUGUGAUUUCUCGAAAAACAAGCUGUCAGUGCUACCCAGUGAAAUAACAUGAUAUGAAGCUUCGGAGAAGCUUAAUCUGUACCACAAUGUAAUCCAUUUCAUUCCAGAUACUGUCACGUUCCUGCAAUGUCUCAUAUAUUUAGAUAUCAGCCAUAAUCGUAACGGUCGGAAGGAACGGCUUUUGCUUUAUAGAAAUUGGGAAAACACUCCGAACCACACUCUCAAUUUUUGAUUUCUACCUUUUUCCUACUUUUCGGCCACCAUGCAUAGUAGAACGAAAAAGGUAGAGAAAUGGUAGAAAAUUUAGUUUACUUUUAGCUAGUAGGCGAAUGGAAGAUGACCUACCAUAUGGUAGACAAAUGCGUGUCUACCAUAAAGUAAGAAUUAGCAGACGAAAACGCAAAAUCACAGCAAAAAUGGAGGGGCGAUUCCCAAGUAAAUAUGCACUUUUCAUUGGAAUAUAACAAAACAAAACUUGGGAAGCAAACAAACUUU